AUUGCAAUCAUUUUUUUCUUUCCUCCCUGGGGAUCCCGGCCCCUCCUCUGGGGGCUGCCCUGCAGCUGACCUAGAGAUCACCCCCUUCCAGCGUGGACAGCAGCUACUGUACCGCCACCUCCUCCUGCCAAGGCAGAUCGAGCUACAUUUGUGUAGUCUUGGAGGCUGGAAAGUGCUCUAGAAAACACUCUUCAUUUCCAAGUUUCAGACCAACAAAGAGAGGCACAUCGGAGUCUGUAGCAGAGAGAGUAAGCUUCCUGCUAAUGCACACCUUGGGAGGAACACAUGAUGCCUGAAGUAGUCGGGUCCCUGCCACCCAUCAGGAGAUCUAGAUGGAGUUCUUGGCUCUUGGCUUCAGCCUGACUCAGCUCCAGCUGUGCUGGGUAUUCAGGAAGUGAACCAGCAGAUGGUAGGUCUCUCUAUCUCCUUGCCUUUCAAGUGAAUUUAAAUAAAGAAAACGAAGAAAGAAAAUAUGUACUGCUGGGGCUGGUGUUUGACCCAGCAGUUGAGAUGCUUGCAUUCUAUAUUAAAAAAAAAAAAAAGGUCAUGGGUGUAGUGGUGAAAACUGCUUGGGAUGCCUGCCUCCCAUAUUGGAGGCCUGGGUUCAAGCCUAGGCUCCUCUCCCAAUCCCAGCUUCAUGCUAAAUGCACUCUGUCAGGUAGCAGAUGAUUGACUUAA